rnacentral:piRNA from 1 species
CUCUACCUCAGAGGUGAUGUCAUUCAGGUC